CUGGAGCUUGCUCCGGUGGAUUAGUGGCGAACGGGUGAGUAACACGUGAGAAAUCUGCCCCUGACUCUGGGAUAACUGCGGGAAACUGUAGCUAAUACCGGAUACUUUCCCUGGUGGGCAUCCACUGGGGAAGAAAGAAUUUCGGUCAGGGAGGAUCUCGCGGCCUAUCAGCUAGUUGGUGAGGUAACGGCUCACCAAGGCGACGACGGGUAACCGGCCUGAGAGGGUGACCGGUCACACUGGGACUGAGACACGGCCCAGACUCCUACGGGAGGCAGCAGUGGGGAAUAUUGCACAAUGGGCGCAAGCCUGAUGCAGCAACGCCGCGUGAGGGAUGAAGGCCUUCGGGUUGUAAACCUCUUUUAGCAGGGAAGAGGCGAAAGUGACGGUACCUGCAGAAAAAGCACCGGCUAACUACGUGCCAGCAGCCGCGGUAAUACGUAGGGUGCAAGCGAUGUCCGGAAUUAUUGGGCGUAAAGAGCUCGUAGGCGGUUUGUCACGUCUGCUGUGAAAAUCCAAGGCUCAACCUUGGACUUGCAGUGGGUACGGGCAGGCUAGAGUGCGGUAGGGGAGAUGGGAAUUCCUGGUGUAGCGGUGGAAUGCGCAGAUAUCAGGAGGAACACCAAUGGCGAAGGCACAUCUCUGGGCCGUAACUGACGCUGAGGAGCGAAAGCGUGGGGAGCGAACAGGAUUAGAUACCCUGGUAGUCCACGCCGUAAACGGUGGGUGCUAGCUGUGGGCCACAUUCCACGUGGUCCGUGACGAAGUAACACAUAAGCACCCCG
rnacentral:rRNA from 1 species